CAGUCGCCACGGUAAUACGAGGGGGGCAAGCGUUGUUCGGAAUUAUUGGGCGUAAAGGGUGCGUAGGCGGUUUGACAGGUCUUAUGUGAAAUCUUUGGGCUCAACCCAAAGUCUGCAUGAGAAACUGUUGAGCUUGAGUAUGGGAGAGGUGAGUGGAAUUUCCGGUGUAGCGGUGAAAUGCGUAGAUAUCGGAAGGAACACCUGUGGCGAAAGCGGCUCACUGGACCAUACUGACGCUGAGGCACGAAAGCUAGGGGAGCAAACAGGAUUAGAUACCCCUGUAGUCCCUGUCUCUUAUACC
rnacentral:rRNA from 1 species